UCUAAUAUGACAGAAAAUGUAAUGAAUUUAAGAUUCAUAAAUGAAUUAAAUAAAGUUCUAUUAGAA
rnacentral:tRNA from 1 species